rnacentral:rRNA from 1 species
GACGGAGGGGGCAAGCGUUGUUCGGAAUUACUGGGCGUAAAGCGCGCGUAGGCGGCGUGCCAAGUGUGACGUGAAAGCCCUCGGCUUACCCGAGGAAGGGCGUCGCAGACUGGUAGGCUAGAGUGCCGGAGGGGGAUGCGGAAUUCCUGGUGGAGCGGUGAAAUGCGUAGAGAUCAGGAAGAACGUCGGUGGCGAAGGCGGCAUCCUGGACGGACACUGACGCUGAGGUGCGAGAGCGUGGGGAGCGAACGGGAUUAGACUACCCCGUA